rnacentral:rRNA from 1 species
AGAGUUUGAUCAUGGCUCAGAUUGAACGCUGGCGGCAUGCCUAACACAUGCAAGUCGAACGGGGGCAGCAAUGCCCUAGUGGCGGACGGGUGAGGAAUACGUAGGAACCGGCCCACGAGUGGGGGACAACCUGGGGAAACCCAGGCUAAUACCGCAUACGCUCGCGAGAGGAAAGCGGGUGACCUUCGGGCCUCGCGCUGGUGGACGGGCCUACGUCCGAUUAGCUUGUUGGUGGGGUAAAAGCCUACCAAGGCGACGAUCGGUAGCUGGUCUGAGAGGAUGAUCAGCCACACUGGGACUGAGACACGGCCCAGACUCCUACGGGAGGCAGCAGUGGGGAAUAUUGGACAAUGGGCGCAAGCCUGAUCCAGCAAUGCCGCGUGGGUGAAGAAGGCCUGCGGGUUGUAAAGCCCUUUCAAUGGGGAGGAAAACCUGCCGGUCAAUACCCGGUAGCUUGACAUUACCUAUAGAAGAAGCACCGGCUAACUCCGUG